AGCAGCCGCGGUAAUUCCAGCUCCAAUAGCGUAUAUUAAAGUUGUUGCAGUUAAAAAGCUCGUAGUUGAAUUUCGGGAUCAAGUCGUCGGUCGUGCUCAGGUACGUACUGGCGUCAUUGAUUUCUCCCUUCUGACGAACCAUGAUGUCAUUAAUUUGGUGUUAUGGGAAAUCAGGACUGUUACUUUGAAAAAAUUAGAGUGUUUAAAGCAGGCUCACGCUUGAAUACAUUAGCAUGGAAUAAUGAAAUAGGACGUUCGAUCCUAUUUUGUUGGUUUUAGGAUCAACGUAAUGAUUAAUAGGGAUAGUUGGGGGCAUUAGUAUUCAAUUGUCAGAGGUGAAAUUCUUGGAUUUAUUGAAGACUAACUACUGCGAAAGCAUUUGCCAAGGAUGUUUUCAUUAAUCAAGAACGAAAGUUAGGGGAUCGAAGACGAUCAGAUACCGUCGUAGUCUUAACCAUAAACUAUGCCGACUAGGGAUCGGAUGAUGUUAAUUUUUAAUGACUCAUUCGGCGUCCG
rnacentral:rRNA from 1 species